UCCGUAGGCGGGCAAUUAAGUCAGAGGUGAAAUCCCACAGCUCAACCGUGGAACUGCCUUUGAUACUGGUUGUCUUGAGUUACAGUGAAGUAGAUAGAAUAUGUAGUGUAGCGGUGAAAUGCAUAGAUAUUACAUAGAAUACCGAUUGCGAAGGCAGUCUACUAACUGUAUACUGACGCUAAUGGACGAAAGCGUGGGGAGCGAACAGGAUUAGAUACCCUGGUAGUC
rnacentral:rRNA from 1 species